UUGUGUUGCUCCAUAGGUUGAGAAGGGACCAAAAUAUUAUCAAAGGAAGCAAAAUUUGUCAAGCAAGGCCAAGGUACCUCAUUUGUUGUAGCUUGAAGGAUAGACGAUCUUUGCAAGGCAUGCAAAGGGGGCUCGGCCUCCUCCUCUUUUGAACUACUUCCGGCCUCAUCAUCAGGUUCAAGCUCUUCCCUUUCUUCUUCU
rnacentral:lncRNA from 1 species